rnacentral:tRNA from 6 species
GCGGGGGUAAUUCAGUGGUAGAAUGCCUCCUUGCCAAGGAGGAUGUCGCGAGUUCGAGUCUCGUCUCCCGCU